GACGAACGCUGGCGGCGUGCUUAACACAUGCAAGUCGAGCGCAAAGGUCUCUUCGGUGGUCCUAGCGCGGCCGACGGGGUGGUAAAACGUGAGUAAACUUGCCCUCCAUUUAGGGUUAACACCGGGAACGGUGUGUAAUACCGGAUAUAAGCCAAUCGCACUUGGGGUGAGGCUGAAAGAAUGUCGGUGGGGGAUGGGGUCGCGGGCUAUCAGCUCGUUGGUGAGGGGUAGGGGCACCAUGGCUUCGAGGGGGAGACGGCCUGAGAGGGGGACCGGGCACACUGGGGCUGAGAGACAGCCCAGACUCCUCCGGGAGGCAGCAGUGGGGAAAAUUGUGGAAAGGGGGGAAACCUGAUCCAGCAACGCCGCGUGAGGGAUAACGGCCUUCGGGUUGUAAACCUCUUUCAGUACCGACGAGGCGAAAGUGACGGUAGGUACAGAAGAAGCAACGGCUAAAUACGUG
rnacentral:rRNA from 1 species